rnacentral:rRNA from 1 species
UUACUGGGCGUAAAGCGUGCGUAGGUGGUCGUUUAAGUCCGUUGUGAAAGCCCUGGGCUCAACCUGGGAACUGCAGUGGAUACUGGACGACUAGAGUGUGGUAGAGGGUAGCGGAAUUCCUGGUGUAGCAGUGAAAUGCGUAGAGAUCAGGAGGAACAUCCAUGGCGAAGGCAGCUACCUGGACCAACACUGACACUGAGGCACGAAAGCGUGGGGAGCAAACAGGAUUAGAUACCCUGGUAGUCCACGCCCUAAACGAUGCGAACUGGAUGUUGGGUGCAAUUUGGCACGCAGUAUCGAAGCUAACGCGUUAAGUUCGCCGCCUGGGGAGUACGGUCGCAAGACUGAAACUCAAAGGAAUGAGGC